UCCUAGGUGGCUCAGUUGGUUGAGCAUCUGACUUUGGCUCAGGUUGUGAUCCUGGGGUCCUGGGAU
rnacentral:tRNA from 1 species